rnacentral:rRNA from 1 species
UGAGUAACACGUGAGCAAUCUGCCUUUCANAGGGGGAUACCGAUUGGAAACGAUCGUUAAUACCGCAUAAUAUAAUUGAACCGCAUGAUUUGAUUAUCAAAGAUUUAUCGCUGAAAGAUGAGCUCGCGUCUGAUUAGCUAGUUGGUAAGGUAACGGCUUACCAAGGCGACGAUCAGUAGCCGGACUGAGAGGUUGAUCGGCCACAUUGGGACUGANACACGGCCCANACUCCUACGGGAAGCAGCAGUGGGGAAUAUUGCACAAUGGAGGAAACUCUGAUGCAGCGAUGCCGCGUGAGGGAAGAAGGUUUUAGGAUUGUAAACCUCUGUCUUCAGGGACGAAAAAAGACGGUACCUGAGGAGGAAGCUCCGGCUAACUACGUGCCAGCAGCCGCGGUAAUACGUAGGGAGCGAGCGUUGUCCGGAAUUACUGGGUGUAAAGGGAGCGUAGGCGGGAUCGCAAGUCAGAUGUGAAAACUAUGGGCUUAACCCAUAAACUGCAUUUGAAACUGUGGUUCUUGAGUGAAGUAGAGGUAAGCGGAAUUCCUAGUGUAGCGGUGAAAUGCGUAGAUAUUAGGAGGAACAUCAGUGGCGAAGGCGGCUUACUGGGCUUUAACUGACGCU